AAAACUCUAUAGGACUAGCUUUCCCCCCAGAUUUUUUUUUUCUUCCUGCAAAAAUUUUCCGCCAAUUUUUUAUUUCCCACUUUUUUUUUUUAUCCCUUCUUUCUUUUCAAUUCCCACUUCUCUCUCCCCUCACGCCGCCACCUCUAGCCACCUAUCUGCUCUCUCUCCCACACGCCGGAGUCACAAUCCCUAAUCACAAACCCUAAUUUCUUCUCUGAAUUUUUGUGUUUCUUUGUUUUCUCCCACUUUCUCGUCGAUUUUCACCGCAUUUCUUUGAUUUUCCUUUUGCACAUUUCUCAGAAAACUCAAAAAUCGAAGGUCUCCUCUCAUCUCGACUCCAACACCGCUGAUUCCACUAGUUUGAUUACAGGCAAAAAUGGGCUUGGGGAGGGUAUCGUUGUCACUCUUUGGGGUCAGCCUUAGGUCAAUGCUGAACUUCCUAUGUCCUGAGCCACUGGUGAUGUGUACCAAAAGAGACUGUCAAGUACUUCAACAAUGAAGCUUUUCAAGCUGAUCAAUAUGAUGAGUACUUAAAAGAUUCUUAAUGCAAGAGAAAGUUGGUGGCUGUGCAUCAGUCUUUGAGAAGUACCACGAGAAGGCAGAAUCCUUUUUUUGAGACCCUUUAAACAUUGGAGGGUGACUUAGAGGAAAACUAAUAUAGAUCUUGUCAUAAUUCUAGUUGUUUAAGUUUAAAACAAUAUUUUUAUGUCAUAGUUUAAUUUCAGGA